ACCCGCUUUUUCUCAGCUUCAAUCCUUUCUUCUUCCAUCCGCAUUUCCUUGAUCAGGAGUGGAGUGACGAUCUGGGCCUUGCCGAGGGGAAGGAGGUAGUUGCGGAAGAAUCCCAUCUUGACCUCGAGGAGCUGCCCCUUCUUCCCCAGCUCCGACACGUCCUCCUUCAGUAUGAUCUUGCGGGUUUUCUUGGCUUUCUUCUGAGCCAAGACGAGCAUUGCCGAAGGGAUCGCCGCCUCGUGCCGGGCAGCGACGCCGCCGCCGCCGCCG
rnacentral:misc_RNA from 1 species